UCGCUUCAGCCUCCCAAAGUGCUGGGAUUAUAGGCGUGAGCCACUGUGCCCGGUCUUUUUCUUUAAUGUAGUAUUCACUGGGUUUUUUAAAUUAGUGUCAUAAGUCAGUUAUCCAAGUAGUUUUUCUCCUUUAUUUCAACAUUGACUUCUGACUUUUCCGAAUAUAGGAAUUCCUUCUGUCCUGUUAAGCAGUCCUUCGCUUUCUGCUUUUGGAUACUUAAGUGACCACCUCACUUUUUUGUGAUGCAGCUUGUUCAAUUUUUGGAUAGUUCUCGUGGACACAUGGAAAUGCUGAGUAGAACUAUGAUACAAAUCAGCUCACCAUAAAGUACAAUCUCCAGUGGCCAGAGAGAACUAAAAGGAAACUAAAAACCCGCAUGACACAGUUAACUUUGGGGCUUAAGAUGAGAUAAGGUAUAUACCAUUUAUGUGGUCUGUCAACACACGAAGUUAAAUAUUAACGUCAAGAAUCUCCCUGGACUGGCUUUACUCUCAGGCA
rnacentral:lncRNA from 1 species